rnacentral:rRNA from 1 species
GCUGCCGGCAGGCUUAACACAUGCAAGUCGAACGGUAACAGGAGAAAGCUUGCUUUCUUGCUGACGAGUGGCGGACGGGUGAGUAAUGCUUGGGAAUCUGGCUUAUGGAGGGGGAUAACUACUGGAAACGGUAGCUAAUACCGCGUAAUGUCUAAGGACUAAAGGGUGGGACCAUUUGGCCACCUGCCAUAAGAUGAGCCCAAGUGGGAUUAGGUAGUUGGUGAGGUAAAGGCUCACCAAGCCCGCGAUCUCUAGCUGGUCUGAGAGGAUGACCAGCCACACUGGAACUGAGACACGGUCCAGACUCCUACGGGAGGCAGCAGUGGGGAAUAUUGCACAAUGGGGGGAACCCUGAUGCAGCCAUGCCGCGUGAAUGAAGAAGGCCUUCGGGUUGUAAAGUUCUUUCGGUGACGAGGAAGGCGAUUGUUUUAAUAGAACAGUCGAUUGACGUUAAUCACAGAAGAAGCACCGGCUAACUCCGUGCCAGCAGCCGCGGUAAUACGGGGGGUGCGAGCGUUAAUCGGAAUAACUGGGCGUAAAGGGCACGCAGGCGGUUGUUUAAGUGAGGUGUGAAAGCCCCGGGCUUAACCUGGGAAUUGCAUUUCAGACUGGACAACUAGAGUACUUUAGGGAGGGGUAGAAUUCCACGUGUAGCGGUGAAAUGCGUAGAGAUGUGGAGGAAUACCGAAGGCGAAGGCAGCCCCUUGGGAAUGUACUGACGCUCAUGUGCGAAAGCGUGGGGAGCA